rnacentral:lncRNA from 1 species
AAGAUUGAUGUUUUAGAAGCUGUUCUGGUGCUGCUGUGUUGAAGACUGAAGUUUUCUUGUUUUUUUAAAUUGUGUAAUUUGUGGCAGUCCUCAUUGAUGUUUGUUUGUAAUGUUUUGGGCUCUUAAUGAGUUCCUUGGAUUUUUUCAUUAUCUCAGCUAUCACAGUUGUGUAUGGUGAUGGUUUGUACCUCCUGAACAAUUAUG